rnacentral:misc_RNA from 1 species
GAUGAAGAACGCAGCGAAAUGCGAUACGUAAUGUGAAUUGCAGAAUUCAGUGAAUCAUCGAGUCUUUGAACGCACAUUGCGCCCCCUGGUAUUCCGGGGGGAAUGCCUGUCCGAGCGUCAUUGCUGCCCUCAAGCACGGCUUGUGUGUUGGGCCUCCGUCCUCCUCCCGGGGGACGGGCCCGAAAGGCAGCGGCGGCACCGCGUCCGGUCCUCGAGCGUAUGGGGCUUCGUCACCCGCUCUUGUAGGCCCGGCCGGCGCUUGCCGACACAUCAAUCUUUUUUCCAGGUUGACCUCGGAUCAGGUAGGGAUACCCGCUGAACUUAAGCAUAUCAAUAAGCGGAGGA